UAUCGGAUGGUGCAGUAUUCUAGUCGGUCUACCGGUUCUGAAGGUGAGCCUAAAAAUUCACUAAAGGGCACAUCGAUGAAGUUCCUUGUUUCGGCUUGAGGAGCCUAGCCUUGGGUUGGAGCUGGGAGUAAAGGUAUAAGGGCGAUCCGCAAAGGCAUGUGGGCGUAGCCCCUUUUACCGUGGAGGCUUCGCUAUGUUCGGCUAGCUUAAAUGCAUUGCGCGAAAGUGAAGUAUAGACCUGCAACGUGAUGAAGGGCAUCACUAGCAGCGUAGCCUGCCUUGAGUGAAGCUUGAGGGGAUUAUGGUUAUAAGAAAACAGUUCGGUUGGCCAUCGUGCUGAUUUCUUCAGUCCAUAUGAAAUCAGUUUUGCAAAAGAGGCUAGGAACUAGGUUAAAGGCUGUUGAGGAAAUCUCCUAGACUGUUCCAAGGGACAUAUGAAGGGGAUUAGAGUACGGACUAAGUGGCAAUCCAGUCUGGCAUUUGGUGACAAUGCCAAGAUGGGUUUAAAGGGAAACCGCCGUUAUGGCGACAUGCGGUACCUAUCUGGGAAAACCUACUGGACCUAAGCCGUAAUUUUUACUCUUCUUAUGACCAUCCAAGC
rnacentral:sRNA from 1 species